AAUGUCACCGGGUGACUAAUCCGAGCGGAACUUUUCUUUUCUCCGGGCGGAACUAAAGUGUGGGAAAUAUUUCCGCCCGGACUAAUUUAAGUGAAACACGAGUUCGGUUCCGGUUGGCCCAAGGCAGGGAAUUAUCCAAGAUACACGUCAGGUGUGGGAAGAGGACGUGUCGGAUAUCGAUUGGAGGAUCGGGAAGGAAGCAGAGAUAUAAAAGGGGUUGGUUUAUGAACAGCUGAACAGGAGUUUGUUUUGCGGUGUUCCACACGAUACGGAAGUGGCUGGUGUGGCGUGGAUGUUGUGAUUUACGGGCUGCAACGGAGAACCCAAGGAAAAGGGAGAUUGGAAGUGCGGAGGAAGUUAAGUGAUCAACCUUUUGUAUGUUGUGUUUACAUCUUAUUGUGGAUUGAGUUGAAGGAGCGAUCCUAUGUUUGGAAGGCCCCUGAGUGAAGGAGAUCAUUGAACUCGUAUUGGGAGAGGAUAACACUGUGUACUGUGUUGAUAGUGGUGCCUUGUGUUGGAGAUCGCUGGGAAGGUCGGAGAGGCUCCGGUGUACGAUAUAUACGCCUGCUGUGGUUUGCCCCCUGCCUAUGUCCAUCUGACACGCCCCGCCAGGACUCUGAGCCCGAAACGGGACUACACCACGGAUCUUCUUUCACUGAGUGUGUGGAGUGCGGUGAGUGCUGCUGUAUUGAAGUGUACACACGAGAAGAAUUGUAGUGCCUUUGUGGUGUGUGGUGUUUGUCUGUGGCUGUGUCCCCGGUCGUAGGAAGAGGCCUGACAGAGAGGAGCAGUGUAUUGGUGGCAACCACAGCCUUUCCUUUAAGUAAGCUGGAGCUUGGACGUGUUGGAGGCGCCUCUGGAGGAGGUUGGAUGACGUCGCCCACACAGCGAUCUCUCGAAGGACAGCAGCCGAUCCUCCCCCGUGUGUCCCCUUGCCAAGCUGGGUGGGAAGCCCAGUGUUGUUCGCAGUUUCACCUGUAAGGCCCACCAGCCGUCAGUCAUCGACCAAAACCCGUAUCCGCUGGGAACACCGACCUCUGAAUAUCUUCAGUGCUCAGCCUUGGGUCUUGAAGUCCAUCCCCCCCUCCCCUAGAGCCAGAAAAUCCCUGUACAUCAACUGCCUGGCUCUUGCCUUACACUUACCUGGAGUGGAGUCGGCUGGAAAUUGAGGGCUGAAGUGGAG
ensembl:lncRNA